AGAGAAGACAGACAUUUAUCUUUGCUGAGCACUGACUCUGGAAAUCGCAGCAAUCCUGGAGGAGCUCAAGGAUUCAUGACAGCAUCCACACUUACACAUGCAUUCACAGCAUGCUCUGACAGAAGCACCCAAAAGCUCUCACAGGCAUUGUUCUGAGCACCAGAGAGAAACAGGGAAUAUGACCC